rnacentral:rRNA from 1 species
UACGUAGGGGGCAAGCGUUGUCCGGAAUCAUUGGGCGUAAAGAGCGUGUAGGCGGCCAGAUAAGUCCGCUGUGAAAUCUCGAGGCUCAACUUCGAGCUGUCGGUGGAAACUGUCUGGCUAGAGUCCGGAAGAGGAGAAUGGAAUUCCUGGUGUAGCGGUGAAAUGCGCAGAUAUCAGGAAGAACACCCGUGGCGAAGGCGGUUCUCUGGGCCGAUACUGACGCUGAGGCGCGAAAGCCAGGGGAGCGAACGGG